GGACACGUAGCUCAAUUGGAUAGAGCGUCUGACUACGGAUCAGGAGGUUGGGGGUUCGAUUCCUCCCGUGUUCA
rnacentral:tRNA from 1 species